rnacentral:sRNA from 1 species
CAUCAAUGGCACAUUAUUCUAGUCAAAUAAUUGUUAUGAAGACGGGGCUAAAAAUCCGUUAAAGAGCAUAUCUGUGAAACUUCUUGUGCUUGCUUUAUACGCCCAGUGUAGGGUGAGUGCUGGAAAUGAGGAUGUUGGGCAACCAUAAUGGCAUAUGGCAACUGACCCACCAUUCGUGGAGACCUAUUGUUGUGUUUUGCCUAUACGAAAUUACUGACGGACUGAAUACGAAAUAGGAUUAAACCUACUUUGUGAUGAAAGUUAUGGGUAGUGUAGCUUGUCUUGAGUGAAUAGUUGGGAUAAUUGGUUAACAGUUUAGUAAAUUUUUAGCUAGAAUCUACUGAAGUGCAAUUUGAAAUACUAUUUGCAAAAAAGAAUUAAUAACAAGAAUUUGGUGAGGAAAUCUUCUAGAGUGUUGUUAAUAUAGGAUUGUAGUGCGUACUAAGUGGCAAUCAAGUAGUAUAUUUGGUGACAAUAUACUAAAUAUUUUAAUGGGGAACCGCUUAUUGGUAACGAUAAGUAAUAUUUAGGGAAAUCCAACUUGACCUAAGACGUAAAGUUAACUAUAUUAAUGCCAUA